UACGGGGGGUGCAAGCGUUGUCCGGAUUCAUUGGGCGUAAAGAGCGUGUAGGCGGCCAGGUAGGUCGGUUGUGAAAACUGGAGGCUCAACCUUCAGAGGUCGACCGAAACCAUCUGGCUAGAGUCCGGGAGAGGAGAGUGGAAUUCCUGGUGUAGCGGUGAAAUGCGCAGAUAUCAGGAAGAACACCCGUGGCUAAGGCGGCUCUCUAGUACGGUACUGACGCUGAGACGCGAAAGCGUGGGGAGCGAACAGG
rnacentral:rRNA from 1 species